CCUACGGGAGGCAGCAGUGGGGGAUAUUGCACAAUGGGGGAAACCCUGAUGCAGCGACGCCGCGUGGGUGAAGAAGUACUUCGGUAUGUAAAGCCCUAUCAGCAGGGAAGCAAGAUCACGGUACUUGACUAAGAAGCACCGGCUAACCACGGGCCAGCAGCCGCGGUAAUACGUAGGGGGCGAGCGUUAUCCGGAUUCACUGGGUGUAAAGGGAGCGUAGACGGCCGUGCAAGCCAGGAGUGAAAGCCCGGGGCCCAACCCCGGGACUGCUCUUGAAACUGUGCAGCUGGAGUGCGGGAGGGGCAGGCGGAAUGCCUGGUGUAGCGGUGAAAUGCGUAGAUAUCAGGAGGAACACCGGCGGCGAAGGCGGCCUGCUGGACCGCGACUGACGUUGAGGCGCGAAAGCGUGGGGAGCGAACAGGAUUAGAUACCCCAGUAGUC
rnacentral:rRNA from 1 species